rnacentral:tRNA from 1 species
GCCGGUGCCCGAUCGGGACUUCCAGCGCCUGGCGUUUUUGGUGCCGGGGGUGCAGCGGGAGCGCGGCGAAUUCCGGUUCAUCACCGGGGCUCCGGUGC